UUUAAUAUAUAAAGAAGGUGAUUACUUACUUAAAGAAAUAAUUACCAAGACCAAUUACUUAUUUUUCCUUCAGCAUUAGUGUCAGUGAAAGAAGGAAGAAUGGUAACAACGGUAAUAAACCCAACGGACAGAGAACUAAUUUUUAAAAACAGCAACAAAGUACCAUUGCAGAAAAUAAAUUCAAAAAAUUCGACUAAGCCAAAUUCACAAAAUACAAUAAGAAAAAACAAAAUAAAAAAAGUUACGAAUUGAUCACAUGAAUGAGGAAGAAAAGCGUGAAAUAAAUGAAUUAUGCUAUUGUUGCGGACAGCAUUAGACCCACACACGGGUAAGCCCUCGCGCCCCUUCGGGGCAUGAAGUGUCGAGAGGGGUGCAAUAUCAUGUAAAGAAAAAAAACGUCGUGUGAUUGUCAUAGGACCCCGCCCAUGGAGACGGAGCGCGGUAAGCCCCCGUAAAAGCUAAACCCCUCCAAGCUCGCAUAUGAAAUGAAUAGUGCACUGCGGGGCGACGUACCAACCUACCACCACAGAUCGACUGACCCGACUCUCACGCGACGUUAUUCAAGUUUUCAUAGUUUUGUAGUGUACUUAUUUACGUAUUUAUUUAUCAUUACAUUUAUUACACUACAUUUAUUCUCCGAGUUCCUCACUAAACCUCGUCACAGCACACUCCUGGCGGCCAGAGAGUACUUCGGUGUUUCUUCAUGUUGGACCCGUGAUGGCUAUAUCUAUAUUAAAACUGCUGAUGGCACGAGGCACAAGAUUGAGACAUUGACAGAGUUCCAGAAAUUGCAAAUAAGUCAUCCCAAAAGACCUUUGUAGUAUGUGUUUAUCAUUUGUUGGCAAUUGACUUGUAUCCAAUGAUAUACAUUUUUUCCUUACUUUCUUGUUUGUAGGUCUUUCAAUAUUUUUAUUAUUAACUAUAUUACGUAUAUAUUACGUAUUGAUAACCAAAUGUCAAAUCGUGCUUUUGUGUCAUCUGACAUUCAAAAUCAUAACAUAAAAUUCUCACAUUUAAUACAUACACCCGACAAACAGAUAAACAUUUUUAUACGGAUGACGUGAGCGCGCUACUGAGGCACAGCGCCACGCGCGACGCGGACUCAAAUCGUCCGAACUGCAAAUCAUGCGAAGCGCUGCGCCGGCAGACCGACCAGUCGCCACGCGUUGCUACACUGUGCUGACACCUCGUUCGUUCGCUCUCUCGCCCGCCAUUUUGUUUACGUGUUUUCUUUGUUUACAUUGUUUAGUAUCGUUUUAUGUUUGUCUAUAAUUUGUGUACGCUUACGUUAUAUCGUAUAUCUUGUGUAAGUGCACAAAUAAACUGCAUAGUGGUUUACCGCUAAAGUUUUUUAUUUUGAUCUUUUACAUAAUUUGUUAUUAUCAGUUUUUAAUACAUUGUGCCGGAACCAGCUUUUAUUUAAAUACAGUCCACUAGUAGAUACAGUUUUGAACACCAACACCUAUAGUUAUAACUAUCGGGACGUUUUCUACUGCGAACAGUUACCAUUGACAUUUACAUGCGAAAUAAAACAUAAAUUAAGAUUGACAGAUAACAAGCCGAUAUUUGUAAGAAAUUAUAGUCGUGCACCAAAACAAAAGGAUGACAUUAAAAAACAAGUAGAUUAACUAUUACCACAAACAUUAGAGAAAGUAACUCUCCGUGGGCUAGUCCGGUACACUUGGUACCGAAGAAAAUAGACGCUUCGGGAAAACAAAAAUGGAGACGGGUAAUAGACUAUCGGAAACUAAAUGACAAAACAGCGGAGGACAAGUAUCCACUGCCCAAUAUAGACGACAUACUAGAUAAGUUAGGCAGAGCACAAUAUUUUACCACUCUUGAUUUAGCUUCGGGUUAUCACCAAGUAGAAAUAAUCAUAGAAGAUAUGGAAAAUGCGCAUCAAUUGGAAGACAUCCAGCAGCAGCCCUUACGUUCAUCGGUUAGCCUCUCUCAAGGGGGGAGAAGUCAUGUAGGCAUAACCUAAAAAUAGACAAAGAGACAUUCACAAGCAUGUCACAUUAAAGACCCAUUAAGUACAACUUUCUUAAUGGGUAGAGAUAACAUAACAAUAGGAACCUUUUGUAUAAUCAACUUUGUGUUUUAUUAGAAUAAAUAGUCAGUCUUAAACCACGCAUCACAGCGUGAACUUGCUUUCCUUUUUAAAAAGGCUAACCUUCGCCCACAACCUAUCUCUUGGGAGAAAACUAUUUAUCAUCGCCACCUAUUGUUAAGAAGACAAUUAGUACCGUGCUGUAGAAUUAGCGCAACACUAGAUUAUCGGCAUAAACGUCACGUCCCUAGCUGACAGCUGUCAAUGUCACUAGAAGGAUGGAUAUUGGCGCGCAUCCGAGUCCUGACGAGAAGUGUUGCUCUGAGUUUAAAGCGACAGUAUCAAUUAAAUAAGUUGUCUUAAAUACUUAGAUCCUAGCUAUGAGUGCAAAUUUUUUGUACCAAUGACUGAAGAAAAGUUUAAAGAUGACAUUUUAAUGAUGAUAAAUAUUGGGAAUGACGUUUUUGAAUUUCGUAAUACCAAUACCUAAAGAGCUAAAAGAAUAAGUGUCUGAUUGCAAGGAAAAUGAUAUGGAACAACUAGGAAUAGGGACAUGAAGGACAUGUGGAGAUAUCGGAACCCUCAAAUUGCACCUGAGGGGGCUUAUUAGUGAGUAGAAAUCUCACAUCUUUCGAAGAUCCCCCCCAAUACAAAAAAAAGAAACAGGGACAUCGGGUUUCAACAGAAAGUCAUGUUUACAAAACGACCUUCCUAUGUUUCAUUCGUCGAGUGAAGACGAGAGUACAGACAAUGCGUCAAGACAAACACUGGCCAUUCCGUCAAAAAAAGUAUUUGUUAUCCACUUUUACAGGAGCAAUAAAGUCAGUAUCUCGAAACGAGAAUUUUUUCCUUUAAAAUACAGUCUAGUACACCGUCUUUUAAACCCAAAAUGACGGUCUUUGGGCUAUAAUGGAACAAAAUAGCAAUAUUGUUAAACAGUGUUACCAACCCUACUGUUUUCACAUUGAUUGCAAUGUUUUCAGUUUCAUUCCUAUUUUCUGAUGUUUUUAAACUAGCCAUCAGAGCCACCUAUUGCCCCAUCACAUUACAAACAUUUUUUAAAAAACCACUACGUUGUAAAACGCAUUGACACUAGAUGGCAGUGCCUAGUCAGAAUUCGGGGGAAUCUCCGACCACACUAUAUGUGUUUGUAAAUCAUUUCCCAAAGAUUUCUCCAAAUAACAUAAUGGAACUGGAUAGAGAAUGGCGAAUGUUGAGAAACGUCGAUUUUUCUUUCAACCAAAACAAAACUCCCGAUAUUAUCGACUUUUGGAAACAUGUACAAGAAUUAAGAAAUGGAGACGAAUCUCAAACAUUUCCCAUAUUUUGUGAAUUGAUAAAAAAGCUUUUGUGUCUACCACAUAGCAGCGCCGCCGUAGAAAGGUUAUUUUCUGCUAUAAAUAUUAUGAAAACCAAAUUACGCAAUAGAAUAUCAACUAAAGCUAUUAAAGGAAUACACACUAAAUCCGAAAUAACCGAUUGUUAUUCAUUUGAAGCCACAGAAAGGCACAUGAAAAAAUUUUCAAAAAAAAUAUGUAUGAUUUUAAAAAUAAAAAUGAGUGUGAAAAUAUCGAAGAUGGGGCAAUUGAAAAUAAAACUAAAAAAUAAUUUUACUUUGAUUUUUGUUGUUGUGAUCAUAAAUAUAUCAAUGUAUGUCAGAUCUAGUAAUUAACACUUUGAGACCAGGAGACCAAUAUAUAAUAUUAUAUGUGUACACAAUUGUACACAUAUAAUAUUAUAUAAAAAUAUAUGUAAGUCUUAAUUUCACAUUAUUUGCAAUUAAAAACGGUUGUGUUCAUUAGUUCACAUAUUUAUGGCUGCUGGCACUAUCCGUAUCAACAGAUUUGUAAAGCCAUCAUUGCUAAGAAACAAAGAAAUGAACAAAAAAUGCGAGGCUAUGCUCAAAAAUGACUAGCUAUGAUGAAGAUGUAACUAUCAAAUGGUUGGAUAAUAAGAUUACCCAUUUAGCAUCUAAUUUUGUUGCAAUUGGUAAAAAGAUUUAGUGAAGAGGUGGUGUAAAAAAGAUAAGCACUUUAUUGAAGUGGAACGUCCCGAAGUUGUAAGGAAGUACAAUCAUUCGUUGGGAGGAGUAGAUUUGCUAGAUCAACUCUGAGUUACUAAAGGACGUUUAUAAAAUCAAAAAAAUGGACCUUACGCAUGAUAUUCCAUGCAUCAGAUUUAGCAGUAGUUAAAGCAUACCGAUAAUACUAAGUCGACAAUGAGGAGCUUAACAUACCUUAAAACAAACAACUGUCAUUGCUUUACUUUCGGUGUCGGUUGGCUGAAAGUCUGGUGUUGUAAAAUAAAAAUUCCGGUAAAAGAGGUCGUCCAAGUGGCAGUAGCCCAACUCUUCAAAUUGUACCUAGAACAGGAGAGACACGCCCAGAAGCUGAAAUAACUCGAGACGGUUUUGGGCAUUUUCCUGCACACGAUGAGGGGCUUGGGACACGGUGUAAAAUAAUGGGAUGCUUGGGUAGAACCCGUAUCAAAUGCAUAAAAUGCAAGGUUCACUUACUUUAUAAUGUCAAGAUCUCCCAAAUACACACGACUACAAUAUGUAAGACAAUAAUAACCACGUAAAUAAUCCGCCUUCGGAGCUCAUACCUCCGCCGCUCGUCACUCCGACAUAUAAAUGAAUAUAUAAUAUCGUUGAAUACCCUUGUUGAUGAUAGAAUUUUUAAAAGCCUUUUAUGGUAUUUUUAUAUUAUUUUAAUUUUAUUAUUUUUGUUAAAUAUAAGCUACUAAUUUCUACCGAGGUAGAUGUAAAAACAGUUGGUAGUUUUUAAGAGAAAAAAUAUAAAGUGAAAUUUGAGGGUGGUCGGCAUAUAUUACGUACGUCGACCGGCGAACGAACUGUGCGCACCCAUUUUGUGAAAACUUGUGUUUUAUUUUGCUGCACCGCCGCCAUCCCUUACAACCCUAUAGGAUAUCUGGUGUACAAAAAAAGUUUCAAAUACUUAAACCUUCGUCAAUUAAUUAGGAUAGUUUAGAGAACCUUUUUAUAAGACAACCUUACUAACCGAAAUCCCAAUUGCCACUAUUUUUCAGCCACAUUAAAAUCCAACAUUUUAACUAACUUAAGCUCACCGCGUAGUAAAGGAGCAAACUGUAAAGAUGAAAAUAAGGCAGUAACUAACUUUAAAGAUUUUUUAAAUAAUAAAUAUAUGGAAUACUGCAAUAGCGAAUUUGUUACAAAUUGAAAUCAAAUUUUCUAAACGUUGUUGUAACGUUCGUGAAUAGAAUCAGUGUAAGAUGUAAACAUAGAUUUGUAUUGUCUCUAUUGAACUUUUGUUUAAUAUGUUUUCUUUUAGAUGCAAGAGUUUAAUUUUUUAAUGAUGCCAUUCCAGUUCACUGGGUCAAACGGAAGCCCUGUGUUCGAACCAGACAUUAGCCAGUGCUGUUCCAGCGUUUUGCUCUGUGACGGGACUUUGCAUAAUCUAUGGCAACGCUUCCGUCGACCCUUUUCAACCCAACCUCGGAAGGACGCGGAGCGAAUUCUGUCAAGUUACAAUUGUACCAUAUAUUUAAUACUAAAUCGAUGUGGAAUAUAUGUAGGCUGCCUUGGUGUUGUGUAAUUGCUUCUCUGGAUAUCUUCAUGAGAAGAUGGCAAUAUGUACCUAGCCAUGAAGCCUGCCAUAUCUAUCAGACACUAACUACUAUUAAGCAGGAAGUGACUGAGUCCACUAAGGAUUUUAUAACUAAGAUGUAAUUCCUGGUGAUCCAUUACUCAGGGCGCCACCCUCGUUUGGACAACAGUCCCCUGGCCAAGGGGAAAAUCAAUUAAGCUAUUUUAUUUUAUUCAAGUUACUUCCUGAGCCCAAGCACCUAGAGACCCAACAACUUGACAUGAUCUAUCAUUUUCUCCGUCUUGAGAUAAUGAUACUUGUGACCUUUGAACAAAAAAAUAUUAUUUGCAAAUUCAUUUCUUCACAAAGGAAAAGCUAAAAUAGCGUGUAGUUUAAAAAUAUUUAACACGCCAGGUGUUAGAUGUUGCUUGCAACAAUAAUUUAAAAAAGUGCGUAAAUUGUCUAUGACAGUUCAGUUCAAAGAUUGUAAUUCUAUGAAACGUGGUUCUCGGACUCCGCAGUUUUAAUAAUUUACACAGGUAAAAUCAGACAGUCCACGCCGACAUUAGAAAGCUUGCGGAAGAUACGAUAGGAGAGAAUACCAUCCCUGAGAGUCUAUCCAGUCUACUAAAUGAAAAUUUUCAUUGUUAUUAAGAUUAACUUUGUAUAAAUUCUAGAUGAUUGCACUGACUUCCCACAAUGGCUAAGAUAGAACUCAAAGAAUUAACGAAGAAAAUGUGCAAUUUCAAGGGUCAAUUACCCAUAUUUAUUUAUUAUUGCACGAAAAAACCAUUAUCCUCUGUAGCCGCUAAGGAAUUGCAAUUGCAAAAAAAAAACAAUAAGUAAAUGCUAAGAUAUGAUAAAUUGAGGAUGAAAAGGGUCACACAGUCACAGUUCAGCUCUCAGUAUUUAGUAUAACCUUCAAAUAUUACACCAAAAUAAAACGGGGAUGCAAUUAAUUAAAGUAACGUAAAAAGGAACUCAUUAAUAUAGCACAAGGAUUACGCAACAAAAAGGAUUCCGAUUAAGGAAAAAACAAAGAAAAUGAAAGAGAUUUAACAAUACAGCUGCUGGCGUCAGCGGAAGUCAAGAAGAAGAUUAAGUAAAUAAGUUUCACUGGCCAUAGACUAUCCGAAAAAAUCUUUUGCUUCAAUGCUUACCACCUUCCUACUAUUAUAUUUAAUGUCGAAAUUGUUGUAGGUUUGGGCAACUUGCUAAGCAGUGUAACUCAAAAUUCGUAGUUUCCGGUUUCCUCAGCCACAUACAUGUGAAAGUUGCAACAUUCCUGAUUUACAAUCAUCCUGUUUUCUUUGUAAUUGUGGUAGACAUAUAGCUACAGCUUCUAAAUGCCCAGAACACUUAAGACAAAAGUCAAUCAAAAUUAUUAUGUCAGAUGGUUCAGUAAUUGGGAGCAGUGGCCAUUAAGAUGUAUAAAUCUUGCAAUAAAAAUGCGAAAAAUUAAUUACGACUGGUGCAGAUUGUAACUGUGACAAUGUUAAGUUGUCAAAUCUUAAUAAUCCCACUGAGCAAACAACAAUGGUGAAAAUAACUCAUCAUAGCCCUUCCCAAGGGGAUAGAAUGUUCUAUGAAUCCUGGGAUUAACAAUCCAUGUCCAAAUAACAAAUAUCUUCAUCCAGGCACUAUUGACAAUUACCUAAAACGCACAAUUUUUUCAACAUUAUCAACGGCAGUCUUAAAAGAAUAUACAUAAACCAAAUAACUAUCUUUUUUCAAAUUUCCAGAUGCUAAUGGAUUCCUUAAAAUAUUCAAGCAUAAAUUUUAAAGUUUUCGUACUAACUUUCAACAAAACCAAAGUAGGUCGUGUAUUAAGCGAUCGAAGUGUUACCAUCCGAUACUUAACUCAAGAAACGGGUAUUUCAUAUUCAACAAUCUUUGAAUAUGAGAAAAGUCUCCGCAUGAUAGGUGCCAUCAAUCCCGACCAUCAGAAACAAAAUUGACAAGUUUUAAAGAGAUUCUAAAAACUUUUUGUCUUGUUUCGUAACAAUGGACAAAACAUGGAUCCCACUAUUUUGAUCUCGAGAAAAACAAAGCUAUCAUUGCAAUGGAAACGGUCAUCAUUGACCCCCAAAAAGUUUCGUGCCAUGGCAAGGUUAUAGCCUCAAUAUUUUGGGACACAAAAGGAAUAUUGUUGAUAAUUAUUUAAAGCGUGAAAACACUAUUACAGGCCAAUAUUAUGCAGCUUUAAUUCCCAAGUUGAGGAAUGCCAUCGGGAGAGAAAAUGGCGAGGCAACAAUUUCAUUCCACCGUGUGCUGCAGAUAUUAGUAACUAAUGACAACAUUAGGCCAAAGAAUGUCAGUGUUAAACUUUACACUGUAAUUCUUGUCAUAUUCUUAACUCAAUUGAUUUGUUUUUUUUUUUUUACUUUAUACUAAAGUUGUGAGUAACGAUCUUAACUACAUAAUAACAAUGCAUUUGCCGAUUAUGUUUUUCGAGAGUCAAGAAUUUUUUUUUCACAAGGAAUAAGGAAGUUAGAAACGCGUUAUUAUAAAUGCAUUGCAUUGGAGGGAGAUUAUGUAGAAAAAUAAAAUAUUAUUAUUUAAAUCUUCGCAUUUUUUAAUGUUGAUUCCAAGAAUUUUUUGAUUCGCCCUCGUAACAAUGCAUUUGUCGAUUAUGUCUUAGAUGGUUCUAUAUAUGUAGCUGUUAGUUAUUCCGAAUAGAAUAAAAUAAAGAACCACUUUCAGGCGAUGACAAUUUAAAUAUCACAGUUCGGCGCACUGUGUAUAAACACACAAGUAGAGCUGCAGUGAGAGAGACGUUCAUAGAAAAAAUGCUAAUAAAUCUCUCAACCUACUUGGAGUAGUAGAAAUAGUAAACAGUCGAUUCAAACGAGAUUUCAAACUGCUCUGACGAGAUUUAACAUACAAUUAUAUUCCCCGAUUUCACAUUUUCCGCCUCGGCAUUGUUCGGAAAAUCCCCACAGAAUGGACAUUGGAGGAACUCCUUUCUGCAAUUUUAAUCCUACCCAAAUAUUAUAUUAAAAUCUAGUUGAAGCUAGAAGGUUUAAUAUAAAUUUCAUUAAUUACAUUGUGCGUGCUUGUGCAAGCUUCAACAACAUAUGUAAGCAGCACUAAUUAGAUCCACUCGUAACGACUGUGUCCAUGGCAAGAAGGCGCUUAGCUCUUGACUUUUUUACUUAAAUAUCAACUGUUACUGGUAAUAUUUUGUAUCUAUUUUACAUAGUUAAAUGUUUUAUAGCUAGCUGUAGUACUUGUUGUUUGUUUCUGCUACAAGACUGUUAUAAGUGAAAACUUUUUAUUGGCCCACAGUUAUCUAUUUUAUAGUUACCUGCGUUAAUUUAGGCUGCAAGUUUUCCAAAUGUUAAAUAAAUAAAUCAAGAAGAGAAGACACCACUACGUGGGUCUCGUCAACUACCGUUGUGAUAACUUUAACUAGCAAAACACUACCCGAAAAAAUCUUUUGCUUCAAUGCUUCACUCCCAGUGUCGUUUUACCAUCUUCCUACUAUUCAAUGUCGAAAUUGUCGUAGGUUUGGGCAAGUUGCUAAGCAAUGUAAGUCAAAAUUCGCUGCUUCCGGUUUCCUCAGCCACAUACAUGUGAAAGUUGCAACAUUCCUGAUUUACAAUCAUCCUGUUUUCUUUGUAAUUGUGGUAGACAUAUAGCUACAGAUUCUAAAUGCCCAGAACACUUAAGACAGAAGUCAAUCAAAAUUAUUAUGUCAGAUGGUUCAGUAAUUGGGAGCAGUGGCCAUUAAGAUAUACAAAUCUUACAAUAAAAAAGGAAAAAAAAGAUUCAAAACAAACAAAUUCAACAUGGUGAAAAUUUUCAAUCUUCAGAUUGUAACUGUGGCAAUGUUUUGUCAAAUCUUAACAAUCCCACUGAGCAAAUAACAAUGUUGAAAAUAACAAUUGAUUUGUUUUUUUUUUCUUUAUAAAGUUGUGCAUAACGAUGUUAGUGAAAUCUCAAUGCAUUUUCAUAAUACGUAUCUAAUUAUACAUAUGUAGCUGUUAGUUAUUCCGAAUAAAAUAAAAAAGAACCUCUUCCAGGUGAUGCCAAUUUGAUUGCCACAGUUCGGCGCACUGUGUACAAAACACAUGUAGAGACGUUCAUAGAAGAAAUGCUAAUAACUCUAACUACUUUGGGCAGAAACAGUAAACGGUCGAUUCAAACGAGAUUUCAAACUGCUGUGACUUUGGCAGCAGCAGCUUGGACUUUGGCAGUGGCAGAUUUGAUAAACAAAUUUUAUUCAGCUAUACAAAAAAGCACUAGCACAAUAACUUCAAUUGUCCAAUAAGAUGUAUUUACCACUAUUGUGUAAGAAGACAGGCACACUUUCAAACUUGGGAAAACAUUAGAUAAAUUCCUUAAGAAAAAAGAAAUGUAACACGAACAUUAAAAGUCACAGCGUCUUCACGAUUUAAAUUCAUGAUUCAUGAUUUAAACCAUGUGUGACGAAAGGCAUGUAGGCGUAGCUUACAAGUAGCCUAUAAAACCUUCAAAAGCGCAUUACAUAUGACCUUAAUAAAGCUAUCGCAAUAACAUCCUUAAUGUUUAACGAUAAGUAGAGAAUGAAAACUCUUUUUUUAUAUUGUAGGGAACCUACAUAAGGUAAAAGCCGGUUAGUUGGCUCAGAGGCUCAGAGUAGUUGAGAAGGUCAGAUAACUGCAACGGGUAAGUUAGCAACUGUAGUAAAUCCAAUCUUGCUAGCCCUGUAUUCACGCACAUCUAGCCGAAACAAAUACACCGACUUCAGGUGAUUCAGAAUUGAUUCUUGCGCAGAGCGUCGGGGGCCCCGUGGUACAUGCGCAAUAGUGAUCUUCACAUAGACUUGGACUUACCCACCAUAGCCCAACCUGAAGCUGGCGUCGCGUCGUUAUUUUGACUUUGUCGUCGGUCAUCCUAAUACGUUAGUUGUAGGCCGCCACCUACAACCCAAUCGCGUUCGGUAAUUUUCGACGUGAUCAUCGCAGACCUAGGCACGUUCUUGAUUUCCAAGACAAUGCAAUAACAAUAGCUCAGGCUAGGAUUAAACAACUACGCAAACAGAUAACACGUCUUAGUCGCAGUCGACUACGGAAAUCGUUGCCACAAUACGGCCUCAUAGCAGGCAGGUUUUCUCCUAUCAAUGAUGGCAGCGUUGCUGGAGUUUCUUCCGCCACUUCUCCCAGCGCUAACGCUUUCCGAAGCGGUAGUAAUGUUAGAUGUAUUAAUAAUAAUAAUAGUAAUCAGAGGCAGCAACCUUUCAAGUCGAGGUUCGGCCCUCGAGCUUAGUUACUCAUAAACGAAGUUUAGGUUAAGCGCCAUCUGCGCUCGGCCACCUCAAGCCCGGUGAAGCUGUUAAUGCCACUUUAAGGCAGUGGCCAUUCAGUCACAAAAAAAUUCAAACGUUCUGACACCUUGGAAGAAUGCACGAUAGUAUUUUUGAUCCUAGUUAAUUGAAGAAAUUAACUUAAUUCAAACAGAAAUAAAUUUCAACUAAGCUAAGUUAAACCCAGUAUAAAAACGAUAAUUUGGGAAAAAGCUAUUUCUGUAAAAGCAUAUAGUACCAAUGGGUCCUGAAUCCUGGAGGUACCAUUAGUAUCCAAACACCCUCACAACCUUCUACAUCUUUACUCCAUCCCUAACAAGAAUACAAUCAUUAAAUACGAAAAAUCCAUGCCUUGUCUUGGGAAAUAACGGAUUUGCAUAUCCCCAUUAGCCCUGCGAGGGCAUAUCAGAUUCAGAGGUAAUCAGAAAGAUCUACACGGCGGUUGUGGAGCAGGUGAUCAUGUACGCGGCUACUGCAUGGUCGCCGACAGAGAAACUGUCAGUCAAACGAAGGCUCGACAAAAUACAGAGAGAAUUCAUGAUCAAAA